UUAAAGUUGUUGCAGUUAAAAAGCUCGUAGUUGAACCUUGAGCCUGGCUGGCCGGUCCGCCUCACCGCGUGCACUGGUCCGGCCGGGUUUUUCCUUCUGGGGAGCCGCAUGCCCUUCACUGGGUGUGUCGGGGAACCAGGACUUUUACUUUGAAAAAAUUAGAGUGUUCAAAGCAGGCCUAUGCUCGAAUACAUUAGCAUGGAAUAAUA
rnacentral:rRNA from 2 species